UACGGAGGGUGCGAGCGUUAUCCGGAUUUACUGGGCGUAAAGGGCGCGUAGGCGGUCAGCACAAGUCAGUUGUGAAAUCUCCGGGCUUAACUCGGAAAGGUCAACUGAUACUGUGCGACUAGAGUGCAGAAGGGGCAACUGGAAUUCUCGGUGUAGCGGUGAAAUGCGUAGAUAUCGAGAGGAACACCUGCGGCGAAGGCGGGUUGCUGGGCUGACACUGACGCUGAGGCGCGAAAGCCAGGGGAGCGAACGGG
rnacentral:rRNA from 1 species